rnacentral:lncRNA from 1 species
AUGUGCACGACUUUAGGGAGCUGCCCUCCGCGUGACGUGCGCCAACUUUCCGCCAAUGGCGCGCGGGCAGCCCCGAGGGCCCGAGCGCCCCGCCCCGCCCGCCCCGCCCGCCCCGCCCGGCCCGGCCCGGCCCGGCCCGGCCCGGCCCUCGGCUCUCCCGCCCGCUCGCGGGGCCGGCCCGGGCGGGGCCCCGCCGCUGCCCGGCCGCCCCCGAGGCCCGCGGCUGGGGCUGGCGAGCUCCCCCGCCGCGCCCGGGGCUUGGCGCUCCCUGGGGGCCGCUACCUGUGCGGCCCCCAGCACUCGGAAGAAGCAGCGACAGGCAGGGACAGGCACACGCGCACCCCGACAGACAGGCUCAGACUUCUGCGGAGACGCGCCCGUCCAGCGCACCCCCCAAGCACACUCGUGCGCGCGCACACAGAAGCCCACGCGCACAAAGUCACCCCUGCCCAGCGGAGGCCGGGCCAGGAAGCCAACACAGGAGCGCCCAGAGCACAGAACCAGGUAAACAGGACGCUGAGCGCUCACGUGGAGGCAGGCAGAGAGCCACAGACUCGGACGACCCCCUCCAGUGUUGCUCUCAGAUUUCUAGAAUAUACUGUUAUGGCCACAGAGUUCUUCCUCAUGACUACCCUUCUCUGGUGAAGAAGCUGAAAUACAAUUUAACCAAAC